CGCACACCUUAUCCUCUCGCUUUCUCGCACCUUCGUCUCCGCCUCUUCCUCUCCCUCAACUGCGCAAGCGCUUCUCCCUCCUUGCGCGGUAGCCGGCGCCAAUCCCUACCCUCGUGGCGGCUGGCUCUGCUCCCUCUCCCUGCGCAGCAGCCGACGCCUCUCCAGCCCUCUCCCCUAUGCAGCGAGUCCUCUCCUCUCUCAUGAGGUGGAGGAGGAGGCGUGGGGUGGCGGGGGCAAGAUCCAACGACCCCCAAGCUUGGGACCAGCACAGCGUUAAGGGAGAUGGCGAGGACGGUGCGACGACGGCAAGGACAGUGGCUCCACGAAGGAGGAGGUGCAGGGCGGCGGCGGCCAGAUCCAAGUGAAUUUUUUGCUGCCUCCCGCUUUCACUCACCCUUGCUUCUGUUACUCCAUCUGUAAGCGAUGUCUUUGCCUUAGCAGCCAGAUUUGAUGUCGUCCUUUGGAAAUUUGUGGCCUUCUUUAUGGGGAUCUUUGGUGCUUGCCCGAUUUGCUCUCCAUGGGUGUUUUGGAGAUGCUUGGGCUGAUUCUGUCACCACUGGAUUUGCCGCAUCGUGACUCGUGAGCUGCUGCAUCUUAAGGCGAAAGAUUGGUUUCUUUAGGGAGUUGAGAUUUGUUUGUGUGUAUCUGCUUCCACCUUUAUAAUUUUUGUAGCGUCAAUCUUCAUCGUAUUCAAUUAUGUGUCCUUGUGAAGCAAAACAUUGAAUGAAAAACUGAUUUUCUGGGGUUGGUUUUGAUGUUGUGAUUUGUCCUCCGUACAUGAUUAGGAUUUUUAUAUCAUCUCUGUUUUUUUUAAUUUGGCCACCGUACAUGAAUACACUUGUGCGGAGAUGGAGAGCGACGCUGGGUGACGACCGGAAAAAUCCAAAUAUUUAUAUUAGUUACAUAGAUAGCUAAAAUAAGUCUAUUUUCCGUCCCUCCUCUUUGGGCUGACAUAUGUAUAUCUAAAAUAAGUCUAUUUUCCGUCCCUCCUCUUUGGCUGACAUAUAUAUAUAGAUAAAAAAAGUAUCCCUAUUCCAUGGCAUAUAAUAUGUCUAUUUUUACUCCUCUAUUUUUUUUGUAUCGGGCCUAGCUGCCGGCCCAUUGUGUCGGGCCGGCCCGGUCAUGCCGGGCCAGCCCAACGUGCCGGUGGAGGGGCCCAGACACAGCCCGAUGGUUGGGCCGGGCCGGCACGGGCCCGACCUCCGUCGGGCCGUGCCGUGCUUGGGCCGGGCCAAAAUAUGGUGCCAUAGGCCGGGCCGUCGGGCCUCGGGCCUUUUGGCCAUCUAUAAGGGACGCACUGGGUGACGGCUGCACGAAUAUGCGCGCCGGAGCUGUCGGUAGGAUGCACGUGCCGGACUGACGCCGAGGCGCGGCAACGCUGCAGGCGCACGGCAGGUUGGAGCCCUGCCGGUGGGCGGUGGCUGGGCGGCGUUCCUAGGAAUUGGGUAUUGAAAGAUUGAAAGAAGUGAACGAAAAAAAUCUCGCGAACUUCAUCAGAAAAUGCGCGUAGAUAAAAAAGAUUUAGCGAACGGGUGCCAAAAACAAAUCUUUUCGCACGUGUUUGACGCGGUUUUUCUACACCUGUCAUAAGGACCGUGUCUACGGAUUUUAACCCCCAUCCUAUCAAAUUUUCAUCAAACGGAUUAAUUUAAAUAUAGAGACGGUUCAUUCAUAUGUCUCUUCCAUCUGUAUCUAGUAAUAGGGUGGGAUGGGAGGUGGGCUUUGGUAAAGACGGUUUCCCAAGCCGUUGCUUUGAAAACGUCUCUAGAGGCUGUUUCUGUUGUAGUAUAUGACGGGUAACAACUAAUUCCAGCUUUCACAAUGUAUAUAACCAGGUUAGAAAGAAAGUCUAUUGUCUGCUUUUCUUCUACACUGUGGAUGCCCUCAUUGACAUGUCUACCUAAUCCUCACUAAUUCAGCUGCUACCACCCAACUCCUCGCGAUGCAUAUCUCUAUGUGGAAGAUGAACAUCCUGGUUCAGCCAUGAAAGUGAUUUGCAAACACAUGUGUUGUCUUGCUAAAAACAACUUUGUCAAUACAUGGUAUAGCAAUCAUUGGCUUGCUCUUUACUGCUAUCAA